rnacentral:rRNA from 1 species
AUGGAGGCUUCCAUGGCAGCUGAAGCACCUCCCCUAGACCUGUCUCUCACGCUGGCCCGCAGUGGCGUCGUGAGAUCGAGGCUUUUCUCUUGCCUCUUCUGCGAGAGGAAGUUCCUCAAGUCUCAGGCGCUAGGGGGCCAUCAGAACGCGCACAGGAAGGAGAGGGUCGUCGGCAGCUGGAACACCCACCUCUACCUCCCUGACCAUCCUCGUCCACCGGUGCCGGACACCGCGACGGGGUACAUUGUUGAUGACGACGACGAGAAGCACCAGAUGCUUGAUCUUAACCUCAAGCUUUAA